rnacentral:tRNA from 1 species
GGAGGGAUGGGAGAGCGGUUGAAUCCGCCGCACUCGAAAUGCGGUAGGGGCGCAAGCUCCUCGUGAGUUCAAAUCUCACUCCCUCCGCCA